AUUGAACGCUGGCGGCAUGCUUUACACAUGCAAGUCGAACGGUAACAGCACUUCGGUGGCUGACGAGUGGCGAACGGGUGAGUAAUACAUCGGAACGUGCCUAGUAGUGGGGGAUAACUACUCGAAAGAGUAGCUAAUACCGCAUGAGAUCUAAGGAUGACAGCAGGGGACCUUCGGGCCUUGCGCUACUAGAGCGGCUGAUGGCAGAUUAGGUAGUUGGUGGGAUAAAAGCUUACCAAGCCGACGAUCUGUAGCUGGUCUGAGAGGACGACCAGCCACACUGGGACUGGGACACGGCCCAGACUCCUACGGGAGGCAGCAGUGGGGAAUUUUGGACAAUGGGCGCAAGCCUGAUCCAGCAAUGCCGCGUGCAGGAUGAAGGCCUUCGGGUUGUAAACUGCUUUUGUACGGAACGAAAAGCCCUCUUCUAAUACAGGAGGGUCAUGACGGUACCGGAAGAAUAAGCACCGGCUAACUACGUG
rnacentral:rRNA from 1 species